CGGGCUGGCGUAUGAUGGUGGUACACCUGCUUUGGGAGCAGGCAGACUGGGUUCGAGUCCCAGCAGCCCGA
rnacentral:tRNA from 1 species